rnacentral:rRNA from 1 species
CUACGGGAGGCUGCAGUGGGGAAUAUUGGACAAUGGGCGAAAGCCUGAUCCAGCCAUGCCGCGUGUGUGAAGAAGGCCUUCGGGUUGUAAAGCACUUUCAGUGGGGAAGAAAGCCUUGGGGCUAAUACCCUCGAGGAAGGACAUCACCCACAGAAGAAGCACCGGCUAACUCCGUGCCAGCAGCCGCGGUAAUACGGAGGGUGCGAGCGUUAAUCGGAAUUACUGGGCGUAAAGCGCGCGUAGGCGGUCUGAUAAGCCGGUUGUGAAAGCCCCGGGCUCAACCUGGGAACGGCAUCCGGAACUGUCAGGCUAGAGUGCAGGAGAGGAAGGUAGAAUUCCCGGUGUAGCGGUGAAAUGCGUAGAGAUCGGGAGGAAUACCAGUGGCGAAGGCGGCCUUCUGGACUGACACUGACGCUGAGGUGCGAAAGCGUGGGUAGCAAACAGGAUUAGAUACCCGUGUAGUC